rnacentral:rRNA from 1 species
GGAUAACCUGCCCUAUUGUCUGGAAUAACCUCGGGAAACUGAGAACAAGGCCGGAUAGCCCACAAUGCCUGGAACGGUUUGUGGGUGAAGAUAGGAUGGGUCUGCGGCGUAUCAGGUUGUAGGGGGUGUAAUGGACCUCCUAGCCAUCGACGCGUACGGGUGUUGGGAGACAUAGCCCGGAGAUGGAUUCUGAGACACGAAUCCAGACCCUACGGGGUGCAGCAGGCGCGAAAACUUCACACUGCAGGAAACUGUGAUGAGGGAACUCCAAGUGCUAUCACUAUGUGGUAGCUUUUCUUGACUAUUAAUCGGUCAUGGAAUAAGGGCUGGGAAAGACCGGUGCCAGCCGCCGCGGUAAUACCGGCAGCUCAAGUGGUCGUCGCUUUUAUUGGGCCUAAAACGUCCGUAGCCUGUUUGGUAAAUCUGUGGGUAAAUCAACCAGCUUAACUGGUUGAAUUCUGCAGAGACUGCCAGACUAGGGACCGGGAGAGGUGUGGGGUACUCUAGGGGUAGGGGUAAAAUCCUGUCAUCCUUAGAGGACCACCAGUUGCGAAGGCGCCACACUGGAACGAAUCCGACGGUCAGGGACGAAGCCUAGGGGCACGAACCGGAUUAGAUACCCGGGUAGUCCUAGGUGUAAACGCUGUGAACUUGGUGUCGGGGAUCCGUAAUGGGUCCUCGGUGCCGGAGUGAAGAUGUUAAGUUCACUGCCUGGGGAGUACGGUCGCAAGGCUGAAACUU